GGUCGGGUUGACGAAGCCCAAGUCCAAACCGCCUUAUAUCCUUGCUAUAAAGUUGCUGCAAACCCUAACUAGGGUUUUGUUACUUCGCAUAUCACUUCUCCCUUGGACCCGACCUUCAUCUCUCUGUCUAUCAGGUUACAGAAGCUACUUGCAGCCAUGAGAGCCAAGUGGAAGAAGAAGCGGAUGAGGAGGUUGAAGAGGAAGCGCCGAAAGAUGAGGCAGAGGUCCAAGUAGUCUCUCCGAACGAAGAAAACGAGUUUUCUAGUUCUUGAUUAUGUUUUGAUGAUAGACUUCGUAGAUUUGAUCUAAUGACAGUUUUAUAUGUUUUUGGAUUAAUUUAUCUUUGUCUUCAGAUCGUUUAUGGUGAUUGUUACUACUGAACUGCCGUUCGCUGAAUCCAUAUGAUAAUGGUGUUAUGUUA